rnacentral:rRNA from 1 species
GUGGGGAAUAUUGGACAAUGGGCGAAAGCCUGAUCCAGCCAUGCCGCGUGUGUGAAGAAGGUCUUCGGAUUGUAAAGCACUUUAAGUUGGGAGGAAGGGCAGUAAGUUAAUACCUUGCUGUUUUGACGUUACCAACAGAAUAAGCACCGGCUAACUUCGUGCCAGCAGCCGCGGUAAUACGAAGGGUGCAAGCGUUAAUCGGAAUUACUGGGCGUAAAGCGCGCGUAGGUGGUUCAGCAAGUUGAAGGUGAAAUCCCCGGGCUCAACCUGGGAACUGCCUCCAAAACUACUGAGGUAGAGUACGGUAGAGGGUAGUGGAAUUUCCUGUGUAGCGGUGAAAUGCGUAGAUAUAGGAAGGAACACCAGUGGCGAAGGCGACUACCUGGACUGAUACUGACACUGAGGUGCGAAAGCGUGGGGAGCAAACAGGAUUAGAUACCCGGGUAGUCC